rnacentral:misc_RNA from 1 species
UUUCUUUCUUUCUUUAUUUUUUUCCUUAAGUUGGAUAUUUAUAUGAUAUUCAGAAAAAUUUGAGGUGCAUGUUUAUGCAGCAUAAUUUUCCUGUUCUUCUAUGUUCAAGUACUUUGCUUUUUGUUAUUAUCACUACCUUCAUGUUAAUCAGUGAUGCGAUGGUGAAUCAAAUUUAAAAAAGGUCCUCUGUGCUUUUCUAUUGCUGCAAUUUUUGUUUGCUGUUGUUGUGUUGAAAUAUCAAAAUCAUGAUGGUAGUUGCAAGUUUAAGAGUUCAAUCUUUGUUUCUACAAAGAGUGAUUCGAUCUUUAUAUUCAAAAGGGUAAUUUACUGUUUAGUUUAUAGGAAUGUUAUUAUUUACACUUUUGUUUUUUCUAUUUUAGAAAAUAGGUUGAAACAUCCCUAAAGUUUGAUUCUGUUUACAAAACAGUGGAGAGAAAAGAAGAGAAAGGAGGAGAGAUUACAUUUCUCAACUUCUUGAAUUUAGCCCAAAACAUUUCUCUCCAAAUUGAUGGGAA